UGAGGAAUCUUGCGCAAUGGGGGAACCCCUGCCGCAGCAACGCCGCGUGAGGGGGGAAGGUCUUCGGAUCGUAAAGCUCUGUCAGUGGGAAAGAAAUGUCUGAGAGUCAAUCCCUUUCAGGCUUGACGGUCCCAACAAAGGAAGCACCGCCUAACUCCGUGCCAGCAGCCGCGGUAAUACGGGGGGUGCAAGCGUUGUUCGGAAUUAUUGGGCGUAAAGAGCGUGUAGGCGGCCGGAUAUGUCAGAUGUGAAAGCCCCGGGCUUAACCCGGGAAGUGCAUUUGAAACUGUCCGGCUCGAGUAGGGGAGAGGGAAGUGGAAUUCCUGGUGUAGAGGUGAAAUUCGUAGAUAUCAGGAGGAACACCGGUGGCGAAGGCGACUUCCUGGCCCUAUACUGACGCUGAGACGCGAGAGCGUGGGUAGCAAACAG
rnacentral:rRNA from 1 species